GGACGGGUUGUGGCUCAGUAGCAGAGCAUCUGCUUGGCAUGCAGAAGAUCCCAGGUUCAAUUCCCAGUAUCUCCA
rnacentral:tRNA from 1 species